AGAGAGAGAGAGAGAGAGAGAGAGAGAGAGAGAGAGAGAGAGAGAGAGAGAGAGAGAGAGAGAGAGAGAACAUCCGCCUCUUAACCAGCUUCACACAUUAAGUCACAGUUCAGUGAGUCAGUGACACUGGAGACGAUGGUGGACAGUCCUGCAGUACUGCUUGUGUUCCUUGCACUGGGUCUGGAAGGCAUCCCGAGCCUCGCCUCGGUCCAACAUUGCCACGCCUCACCUGACGUAGUAGUGCCGGGCGGGAGUGUUGAUCCAGUUUACUAUGAAGAGAUACCUGAAGCAAGAAAAAUGUCGGCAACCUUGUUCUUGCAGCAUCUCUUUGGCUUUGAGGGAAUCAGUGUUGAGGCGACUUAUGAAACAUACACUUUAUCCGCCUGGUUCGCCACUGACCAGUGUUGCCCAGGAACACCUCAGAGCUUCACGUGGGUGCCGUUGAAGGUGGAGGUGGAGGUUAAAAAGCAUACCUUUAGAUAUUACUUCCACUACAUGCUGGACUUUGGUGGAUGCGUGAAGGAAUGUAAAAAGCCUUGGGGCUUUACAUUUAAUGACGAUGAUGGGACUCUGAAGGUUGUAGCUCAUGGCUCCUCAAGAUGGAAGUGUGACAGCCCACCACACGCCUGCCUCACCACCUGUAAUACCACCACCACCGCCUCCACCUGCCAGGAACCGUCAACUCAACUGCCUGUACAUUCACCGUCACACUUAUCUCCUUGCAAUGGCACACCCACAUCUGCUGCCACGCCGCCAUCCGCUGUCACACCCACACCGUCUGCCAUGCCCACAACUCAGCCCUCAGUGUUGGUGCAGGUGGCGCCCACAGUACUGGGAGCGGCCUCCCUCGUGAUAAUAGUAGCAGUGUCGGCGGUUCUUUUCCCUAAAAUAAGACGGGGCUGUGUAUUAAGGUUAAGACGGCCGGCAUCCCUUCCAUCCCCGCCCCGCCACCACCGCAACAGUUCUGUCCGCAUCAGUAUGAACUCCUUGUACGAGGCUUAUAGUGGCCCUGAAAGCCUGCAGUGAACGGCGGUACGAGUGUCUGGUACACCCAAGGGCCCGUAUGCUGAGACGCUUUGUUCUCUCAUCACUGCUGUUUUCAAAGGCCACACUGACAAAUAUAUGCUGUGUUAUACACACUGGCCAUGCCCUGCACCCCUCCAUGCACCCCAGUAUUUCCACGUACUCUGAGGGGCACCAUGCACCGGGCUGACCAUCACAAGAUAAGAUGUUUCACAAUUAUUAACAUUUUUUGGUUUAGGUUUAUGUUUGAGGUAUGUCCUUGUAUGUUCUCCUUUUUUAGCUUUCAAUACAUGUUAUCAUCAUUACUCUAUCAUUUCUUGUUCUUGAUCUGUGCCUGUUCGUUUCGCGUCAACAGUUGUGAAACACUCUGUGGUGAUUACGGAUUGGUACUAGAUAUGUUGUGUGCCUUGAAAUGUUGCUCUUGUUCAUCAGUUUACUCUAAGUUGAGAUGAGUUUGGCCACCGUGCUCUACACUGUAUUGUUUGGGCUAAUGAAUCAUAGGGGCGUUUACUGCCUCACAAUUAACCUCUUCAGUACCGUGACGCGUUUCCAUAUUCAUUUUGCUUACUAUUUGAUGAUUUUGAACAGCUUCAGAAACUCAUGAGGGGAUUAAAAUAGUGAAGACUGUAGCCAUGAAUCUUGUGACCUCGCUAAACCCCUUCUAAUGUCAAUAAAAUGGUGUAAUCGAACACAAAUUUCAAGAUAAAAAUGUCUCCCAGUAUUGAAGGAGUUAAGUGGAUCUCUUCAUGCGUAGUACAUACAUACAUAGGUUCUUAAUGUCUAUUCUGGAAUAUGAGGAUGUUACAAGGUUAGAGCAAAUACAGAGGCGUCACCUUCAUAAGCAAAUUAAGUGACUGUUGUUUUGAGCUAUUUCUAAAUUUUUUCCCCUCAGUCAAGUAAUCAAGUAAUCCCUUAGUUUUGCCUAACUCUCUCGGACCUGCAAGGGGAUUGGCAACUGAGUGAGCUCCCCGCCCCCUUGUUUUUUUUUUUACGUUUUAUGUUGAUCUUAACCAGUGUUCCUCUCUUACAUAAAAGAAAUGUUGAGUGUCUGCUGGCAUAGUCGUCUGUGUCCAGUCUUGGGCCUGUAUUCUGGAACGCUUUGCUCUCUCACCGUCACUGCUUUCCAAAGGCUCUAGUUAAUGAUACUUAUGUUUUUAAGAGUAUUUUUAUGGUUCUGGUGAUAGAUUGGCAAGAUUUCUAGUGUAUCGUAAGGAGAAACACCCUUAAAAACCCUGCUAGUGGUGUGUGUGGCCUUGGAAAACUGUCGUAGUGAGAGAGCAAAGUGUAUCUCAAUAUGGCUGUUGGUGUGACAGGGAAGGAAUUCACCUUAACUCUUCAACUUCCCAUUGGUACGACACUUUAAAAAAACAACAACUCAACACUAUGAAGGAAAGUCCAUUAUUAUUAUUAUUAUUAUUAUUAUUAUUAUUAUUAUUAUUAUUAUUAUUAUUAUUAUUAUU
rnacentral:misc_RNA from 1 species